rnacentral:lncRNA from 1 species
CCGGGAUUUCGGGGAUGACACGGGGGCCAGUGGCCCUGUCUGGUGUGAACCGUCAGCACAGAUGGCCUCCUGGAGCUUCCCCGAGUCGUUCGCUGGGGGAAGCGGGCGGUGAGCGGCCGGCCCGGGCGCUCCGCAGGCCGCGAGCUCCUGGCAGGGCUGGUGGCGGGGGUCCGCCUGGGGGAGGAAUCCCCGCCUGCUCCAUCGGACCCGGCCUGGCGCGGCUCGCGGCGCUCGGCGGGCUCCCUUCCAUUCUAGAAUCUUCCCGCUUGCUUCCCAGCCCGCGUUCUUCCGCCUGCCUUUAAUUGUGUAAGUUUGACGAAGUCAGAGCUUUGGGUUCCAGGAAAAGCGCAGGAGAGUCAUAGAGGAAGGGAGGGCGCAGGUUGGAGUCAGGUCCAAACAGCCCCUAUCGCCACUUUUGGAAAAAAAAAAAAAAACCCUUAAGGUUGGUUUUAUUUUGCCUUUUGGUAGCGGGCGUAUUCAUUUGGAUUUUUUUUUCAAGACAGGCAAAUAAAAGAUGUUUGAAAUCUCUAGUUAUCCCGUUUAACACACCCAUCGAUGGCGCUUUUCUAGUUAAGCUACGGGGGAAACGUCUUUAUCCCACAGUUAGGCUGCGAACUUGUGCCGAUGCUCAGGCUUUGUGGAGACGCUCCGGCAUCUGGCGCAGAGGCGCCCGGCGGGGAAAAGUUUGCAGCCCGGGCUUUGGGGCGCGCGGGGGGCAGGAAUUUUUCUGAGAAAAGAGGGGCAUAGAGAGGCGGCGAGGGUGGGGAGAGAAAAAAGGAACGCAGCGGGGAGGGGGAAAAGCAGCUUGCAGGAUGGGAGUUUCUUGCAGAAUUUACAGGACUAAGGAGUUUGGGGAAGUCGCAGAGCCGCAGCGGAAAGGCAGGGGUCUGAGACUACUUUUGAGAAGAGAAACAACGCAAAACGAUCGCUGGAGGGCCAGAGCCCUGAUCGAAGGUGCCCUAGCUUUUAUGACCUGGUUAAUUGUGUCUCCUUUUUAUUUUAAUUUUUUUCCUUACCACCACUACUACUACUACUACUUUUAUUUUUUUUUUUAACCGACACACUUUGGAGAGAAGAAGCAGACACAGGUUCCCACGGCGUCUGACGCCUGCGGAGCAAGUCCAGAGCCAGCUGGACUCGCAGCCUCUGGCCCGGCGGCACCAACUCCAUACUGGGUCAUUUUGAGCGCGCUGUGCCCACCUUUUCUGUUGCGUGUGGACGUGGGGAGGAUCUUCUAAGUCCCUCCAACGAAGGCAAGUGUGAGACUCUGGCCCUUUAUUUGUAAGAAGCAAGCCUUCAGAUUGCAGAAGUGUCGCGCGGGUCGCCAUGCGUUGCGCGAGUGGGAAGAUGGAGGAGGCCGGCACGCUGCUUUCGUGGACGCAAGUGAACCGGCCGUGAAGGCAGGGUGCGAGCUCUGCCCUUGGCCCAGCCCUGCGUGGGCGCCGUCCCAGAUUCCGGGCGGUGCGGGGUGCAGAGAUCUGGAGAGAGUUGCGGGGUGCAGAGAUCUGGAGAGACUUGCGGGCUCCCCAGCGCAGGCUGCUCUGGGAUUUCGUUGGAAGAUCCGGCAGAGCCUUGGAGGAGAGGGCCCGGGAGGCUGUGUGUGCAGCGGAAACUUGUACGAAUGCCCCCACAGCGGAAAUGGUGCGCACGAGUAAUUUCUGCGGUGCACCCUUUUAAAAAUUGACAAGUGAACAAGAUCAAUUUUUUAAGAAAGCAAAGGUAGAAAACAAAAGGCGUGCGACUUCUUGACUGGCUUGUUCCCGCCUUUCUUCCUUCUCUAUACUCAGAUCAGAAACUUUAAUUGCUCUUAUUCAGUGCGACAACUUUUAAUAAAAGCAUUUGCAUUUUAAGCCUGAGUUGCAACCAUAGAUUUGUUGCGAAGUGACAACGUGUCUAUGGAAUAUUUUCGCAGAUGAGACAGGACAUGCGCUCUAGUCGUGCCCAGAUUAAAGGGACGCUGGUCCAUGUGCCUGUGUAGUGCAGACUCGGAGGGGCACACACAUACUCGUCAUCACAUGACCACUGUCUAUUAAUAUUGUCAUACCUAAACACUCGCAAAAACAAAAGUUGCUUUUCUU